rfam:Papio anubis isolate 1X1155 chromosome 16, whole genome shotgun sequence.
GGGAACCGGGAAGAAGGGCCAGCCCCAGGCCCUUCCAAACAAUGGGGCA